AGAGUUUGAUCCUGGCUCAGGAUGAACGCUGGCGGCGUGCCUAAUACAUGCAAGUCGAGCGAACCACUUCGGUGGUGAGCGGCGAACGGAUGAGUAACACGUAGGUGAUCUGCCCAUCAGACGGGGACAACGAUUGGAAACGAUCGCUAAUACCGGAUAGGACGAAAGUUUAAAGGUGCUUCUGGCACCGCUGAUGGAUGAGCCUGCGGCGCAUUAGCUAGUUGGUAGGGUAAAGGCCUACCAAGGCGACGAUGCGUAGCCGACCUGGGAGGGUGAACGGCCACACUGGGACUGAGACACGGCCCAGACUCCUACGGGAGGCAGCAGUAGGGAAUCUUCGGCAAUGGGCGAAAGCCUGACCGAGCAACGCCGCGUGAAUGAUGAAGGCCUUCGGGUUGUAAAAUUCUGUUAUAAGGGAAGAACGACUUUAGUAGGAAAUGGCUAGAGUGUGACGGUACCUUAUGAGAAAGCCACGGCUAACUACGUGCCAGCAGCCGCGGUAAUACGUAGGUGGCGAGCGUUAUCCGGAAUUAUCGGGCGUAAAGAGCGCGCAGGUGGUUGAUUAAGUCUGAUGUGAAAGCCCACGGCUUAACCGUGGAGGGUCAUUGGAAACUGGUCGACUUGAGUGCAGAAGAGGGAAGUGGAAUUCCAUGUGUAGCGGUGAAAUGCGUAGAGAUAUGGAGGAACACCAGUGGCGAAGGCGGCUUCCUGGUCUGUAACUGACACUGAGGCGCGAAAGCGUGGGGGAGCAAACAGGAUUAGAUACCCUGGUAGUCCACGCCGUAAACGAUGAGUGCUAAGUGUUGGGGGUCGAACCUCAGUGCUGAAGUUAACGCAUUAAGCACUCCGCCUGGGGAGUACGGUCGCAAGACUGAAACUCAAAGGAAUUGACGG
rnacentral:rRNA from 1 species